GACCGCCAGUGAAAAUCGAUUUUCACUGGCGGUCGGCGUAAUAAAACCGCCAGUGGAAAUCGAUUUUCACUGGCGGUC
rnacentral:pre_miRNA from 7 species